UACGUAGGGUGCGAGCGUUAAUCGGAAUUACUGGGCGUAAAGCGUGCGCAGGCGGUCUCGUAAGACAGGUGUGAAAUCCCCGGGCUCAACCUGGGAACUGCGCUUGUGACUGCGAGGCUGGAGUGUGGCAGAGGGAGGUGGAAUUCCACGUGUAGCAGUGAAAUGCGUAGAGAUGUGGAGGAACACCGAUGGCGAAGGCAGCCUCCUGGGCCAGCACUGACGCUCAUGCACGAAAGCGUGGGGAGCAAACAGG
rnacentral:rRNA from 2 species